CUAGAUAUAUAUUUAUAUAAACCCAAACAGGCUCGGCCCGGUCCGGUCCAAUAAUUAAUUAAUCCAAUUAAUUAAACCCGGUCCGUGAAUUAAUUAAUCCAAUUAAUUAAUUCGAAAAUAUAAAUAACAAAUCCAAUUAAUUAAUUUAUUCAACGAUUGUUAAAUUAAUCAAUUGGCAAUUUGCAAUCUUCCAAUUCUCUUUUGUGUGUGACCCAUUAGGUUCCCGACCACGAUGCCUAACGACGUGAAAUAUUAUUUUGAUCUAAUCAAAAUUGAUAAAUUAAAACACCCUUUUAAUUUAUCGUCAAA
rnacentral:lncRNA from 1 species